ACCAGGGGUGGCAGUGCCUACCUGUAGUCCCAGCUCCUCAGGAGGCUGAGGCAGGAAGAUGGCUUGAGUCCAGGAGUUUGAGAGCAGCUUGGACAACACAGCAAGACCCCAUCUCUA
rnacentral:sRNA from 1 species